GCAUAUCAAUAAGCGGAGGAAAAGAAACUAACAAGGAUUCCCUUAGUAACGGCGAGUGAAGCGGGAAAAGCUCAAAUUUGAAAUCUUCAAGGUUUUACCUUGACGAAUUGUAGUUUAAAGAAGUGUUUUCUGUUGAAGUUUUGGUAAAAGUUCUUUGGAAUAGGACAUCAUAGAGGGUGAGAAUCCCGUAUUUGACCAUUAUUUUCAGCUGUGUGAUACACUUUCAAAGAGUCGGAUUGUUUGGGAAUGCAGUCCAAAAUGGGUGGUAAAUUUCAUCUAAAGCUAAAUAUUGGCGAGAGACCGAUAGCGAACAAGUACCGUGAGGGAAAGAUGAAAAGAACUUUGAAAAGAGAGUUAAACAGUACGUGAAAUUGUCAAAAGGGAAGCGUUUGACACCAGUGUUGUUUUCUCGAAAAUCAAUUAAAAAGAGUUGGAUUUUGUGUUGUAUUGACCUUAACAGCUUGCUUCACUCUUUUCCAGCUUUUUUUAAUGCACUUUUCGUUUAACAAGUCAACAUCAGUUUCUUUUGUUGUAAAAGGGUCAUUGGAAGGUGGCUUUCUCUUCGGAGAAAGUGUUUAUAGCCUUUGAUCUCUGCAAUCGGAGAGACUGAGGUCUGCAGCGUAGAUCCUUCGGGGUUAGAUACAUUUGUGCUAAGCUACAGCUUUUCAUAGACAACUUGUUGACUAUGUUUAGUCUUGUGACUUACCCGCUUAUGCUAUUUUACCUACGCUUAGGAUGUUGACAAAAUGGUUUUAAACGACCCGUCUUGAAACACGGACC
rnacentral:rRNA from 1 species